GACGAACGCUGGCGGCGUGCCUAAUACAUGCAAGUCGAACGCAGUUGCGAACGGGUGAGUAACGCGUAGGUAACUGCCUCAUAGCGGGGGAUAACGAUUGGAAACGUUAGCUAAUACCCCAUACUGUGAGAUGGACCUGCGUUGGAUUAGCUAGUUGGUGAGGUAAAGGCUCACCAAGGCGACGAUACAUAGCCGGCCUGAGAGGAUGAGCAGCCACACUGGGACUGAGACACGGCCCAGACUCCUACGGGAGGCAGCAGUGGGGAAUCUUCGGCAAUGGACGGAAGUCUGACCCAGCAACGCCGCGUGAGUGAAGAAGGUUUUCGGAUCGUAAAACUCUGUUGUUAGGGAAGCGGUAUCUACCCAGAAAGCCACGGCUAACUACGUGCCAGCCGCCGCGGUAAUAC
rnacentral:rRNA from 1 species